GGUCUAAUCAAAUUUGGACAAUGUUGGAUCAUGGUCACACCAACCCAUUUGCAGCUCAAACUACGUCUCCUGUAGCAUACCCUAAUCUACCUCUAUCUAACACCAAAACUAAUAAAUCAGACUGAAUGACACUUAAUAACAAAAUUGAGGGAAAACUACCAACAUAUGGAAGAACAACCUUCUCUUAUGGAGGUUCACUUGCUCUUCUCAACAU
rnacentral:lncRNA from 1 species